rnacentral:rRNA from 3 species
UAGGGUGGUUAUAGCAUUGGGGCUCACCUCUUCCCAUCCCGAACAGAGAAGUUAAGCCCAAUAGCGCCGAUGGUACUGCAUUUAUGUGGGAGAGUAGGUCGCUGCCUUUC